UAUUUUCCUACAAACCAAACCCUCAAAUCCGACGAUCUGGCUUACCGUUGCUUCUCUUCGUCGGCGUUUGUCUUCGGCUACGACCCAUCCGCUCCCAUCUCUCUGAGGAAGAGUUACGGGCAGACAUCAACCUCUCCUAUUCUCAGGAUCGCCAAGCCGAAAAGGUUCGUGAGGAAUCAUGGCAGGGCAGUUCAUACAGCACAAGCUUAUGCCAUAAGCUAAUGCCGAUAGGAUUAAUUGGAUUAAUGGUGAAUGUCCUGGACUGUUCAUUUUUCCUUUUCUUUUGCUCUGCAGAUGUCGUUGUGAGCAUACUUUUAGAGCCAAAACUAAGAUUGGCCCAAGCCUGGUCUUCAAAUGAAUGUUUCAUGUGAUCCUUUCUAGUUUGUAUACAUUAAUUUACAAGUUUUCAGUUACAAUC